rnacentral:lncRNA from 1 species
CCAAGUGACAAGAACAGCAUCUUGCCUCAUAGUUCUAGCAGUAAAUGAUUAGGUAGCCUUUGUGUUCGGGCCUCUGGAGAGGGUAGUAUUUCACAGCAGGAGUGAGUGGCAACAAACUGCCCACAUCCUGGAGAGGGAGCAAAGCAAAGAAAGAAUUUUGGGGUCCCUUUUAGAGACAUCCCCAAUGACCUAAGGACAUCCUCCAAGGCACUGCCUCCUACACAGCACCUGCCUUCCAAUGGCAGCACCUAGGAGCGUGGGCCUUACCACUUGGGUCUUUGGGGUCCCUCUUCAUGGUCAAGUGACAAUAAUAGAGGAAGCCGCUUUGUGCAUAGAACUGCAUGGAUGAACACAUAAAAGGGCAAUGAAUAAGUUGAUGUUUUUGUUUUUUUUUGAGACAGGGUUUCUCUGUGUAGCUUUGGAGCCUGUCCUGGCACUCACUCUGGAGACCAGCCUGACCUCGAACUCACAGAGAUCCGCCUGCCUCUGCCUCCCGAAGGCAGGUGGAUCUCUGUGAGUUCGAGGCCAGCCUGGUCUACAGUAAAAGUACCAGGACAGGCAGGGGUACACAAAGAAACCCCUUAUUGAGGCACCCCCCAAAAAAGCUGAGCCUCUAAUUCUAGCUCUCAGGAGGUUGAGGAAAGAUUGCCACAUGGUGGAGGCCAGCCUGAGCUACAUAGCAAGAAUCUGCCUUAAAGAACCAAAAGGAAAAAAAUAUAAUUUGAGAUGCCAUCCCAGACCUGCCAUAUGGAAAACUCCUGGCAUGGGGCCCAACAGUCUGCUUUAACCAAACCUAUGGGUGAUUGUGUAUGGCUGGUUCAGGAUUGAGAACCACCGUUUACACUGUCACAGCUGCUCUAAAGUCUUGCUGACAGCCAGGGGAGGGCGCUCCAGGGCAAACUUUCAGCCAUCAAACAGCCUGGCAAUGGGAAUGGCAAACUGCGAAGCAGGCUGGAAGGCCAGAAGCUGCCUGGCCUACAUGCAGAGCUGCUCCGGCUUGCCGGGCAGGAUUGGCUCCAUGAUUUGUCAGCUGCCAGACCUGGUCCUCGGUUUUCUCAUCUGCAAAGCGAGGAUUCUUACUGAGUGCUCUCACUCUGAUUAUCCUCUUCGAUUUUGUUAUCCAGCUCUCAAGAGGAGUGUGCUGCUGUCU